rnacentral:rRNA from 1 species
AUGUAUGAAUUUAAAGGUUCGAACAGACCUAUUAAUUGGGCUACUGCUCCCAAUCAUUAUCUUAAUCCAACAUCGAGGUCGCAAGCCUUCCUGUAAAUUCGAGCUCUGGAGGAAGAUUACUGCUGUUAUCCCUAAGGUAACUUAUUCUACUAAUCAAUAAUAAUGGAUCUAAGAAUCAUAAAUAAAUGUAUAAUAAAUAAUAAAAGUUAAAUAUAUAUCUUUUGUCGCCCCAACAAAAAAGUCUAAUCAACAGCAGUAAAAAUGAAACACAACAGCCAUUAAAAUUGACCAUUAAAGCUCUAUAGGGUCUUCUCGUCUUCCAAAAGAAUUUGAGCCUUUUAACUCAAAAGCUAAAUUCUAACUUAUUUAAUUGAGACAGUUAGAGCCUCGUCAAGCCCUUCAUUCCAGCCCCCUAUUAAAAGACUAAUGAUUAUGCUACCUUUGCACGGUCAAAAUACCGCGGCCGUUAAAUAAUUAUCACCGGGCAGGCUUGACCUCAUAUAAUAAAACAAGAGGACAUGUUUUUG